AUUGAACGCUGGCGGCAUGCCUUACACAUGCAAAUCGAACGGUAACGGGCCUUCGGGUGCCGACGAGUGGCGAACGGGUGAGUAAUACAUCGAAACGUGCCCGAUCGUGGGGGAUAACGAGGCGAAAGCUUUGCUAAUACCGCAUACGAUCUACGGAUGAAAGCAGGGGACCGCAAGGCCUUGCGCGGACGGAGCGGCCGAUGGCAGAUUAGGUAGUUGGUGGGAUAAAAGCUUACCAAGCCGACGAUCUGUAGCUGGUCUGAGAGGAUGAUCAGCCACACUGGGACUGAGACACGGCCCAGACUCCUACGGGAGGCAGCAGUGGGGAAUUUUGGACAAUGGGCGCAAGCCUGAUCCAGCCAUGCCGCGUGCAGGAUGAAGGCCUUCGGGUUGUAAACUGAUUUUGUACGGAACGAAAAGCCUUCUUUUAAUACAGGAGGGUCAUGACGGUACCGUAAGAAUAAGCACCGGCUAACUACGUG
rnacentral:rRNA from 1 species